rnacentral:rRNA from 1 species
GACGAACGCUGGCGGCGUGCUUAACACAUGCAAGUCGAGCGGUAAGGCCCUUUCGGGGGUACACGAGCGGCGAACGGGUGAGUAACAUGUGGGUGACCUGCCUUUAGCUCUGGGAUAAGCCUGGGAAACUGGGUCUAAUACCGGAUAUGACUCCGCGGUGCAUGCUGUGGGGUGGAAAGCCUUGUGCGGCUGGAGAUGGGCCCGCGGCCUAUCAGCUUGUUGGUGGGGUGANGGCCUACCAAGGCGACGACGGGUAGCCGGCCUGAGAGGGCGACCGGCCACACUGGGACUGAGACACGGCCCAGACUCCUACGGGAGGCAGCAGUGGGGAAUCUUGCGCAAUGGGCGAAAGCCUGACGCAGCGACGCCGCGUGAGGGAUGACGGCCU